AAUAAAAUCACUUUUUAGUUUUUUGAUACAAUGUUGUGACUCUUCGUCUUAUUUAAAUUUUUUUGCGAUUAAUAUUUUUAUUCUUACUAGAUGAUAAAACAUGAAUAGUACUUUAUGCGUGCCUAUUUUCUUAAGUGUUUGUACAAUUUUUUCAAAUAAGACGAAUAGUCAAACGUUUGACACAGAAAAACGAAAACUGAUGUUAUU
rnacentral:pre_miRNA from 1 species